CUGCGGCAGCGACACUGUGUGUUGUUGGGUAGGGGAGCGUUCUGUAAGCCUGUGAAGGUGUGUCGUGAGGCAUGCUGGAGGUAUCAGAAGUGCGAAUGCUGACAUAAGUAACGAUAAAGCGGGUGAAAAGCCCGCUCGCCGGAAGACCAAGGGUUCCUGUCCAACGUUAAUCGGGGCAGGGUGAGUCGACCCCUAAGGCGAGGCCGAAAGGCGUAGUCGAUGGGAAACGGGUUAAUAUUCCCGUACUUGGUGUUACUGCGAAGGGGGGACGGAGAAGGCUAUGUUGGCCGGGCGACGGUUGUCCCGGUUUAAGUGUGUAGGUGUGUGUUCCAGGUAAAUCCGGUUCACUUUAACACUGAGGCGUGACGACGAGGCACUACGGUGCUGAAGCAACAAAUGCCCUGCUUCCAGGAAAAGCCUCUAAGCAUCAGGUAACAUCAAAUCGUACCCCAAACCGACACAGGUGGUCAGGUAGAGAAUACCAAGGCGCUUGAGAGAACUCGGGUGAAGGAACUAGGCAAAAUGGUGCCGUAACUUCGGGAGAAGGCACGCUGACACGUAGGUGAAGUGAUUUACUCAUGGAGCUGAAGUCAGUCGAAGAUACCAGCUGGCUGCAACUGUUUAUUAAAAACACAGCACUGUGCAAACACGAAAGUGGACGUAUACGGUGUGACGCCUGCCCGGUGCCGGAAGGUUAAUUGAUGGGGUCAGCGCAAGCGAAGCUCCUGAUCGAAGCCCCGGUAAACGGCGGCCGUAACUAUAACGGUCCUAAGGUAGCGAAAUUCCUUGUCGGGUAAGUUCCGACCUGCACGAAUGGCGUAAUGAUGGCCAGGCUGUCUCCACCCGAGACUCAGUGAAAUUGAACUCGCUGUGAAGAUGCAGUGUACCCGCGGCAAGACGGAAAGACCCCGUGAACCUUUACUAUAGCUUGACACUGAACAUUGAGCCUUGAUGUGUAGGAUAGGUGGGAGGCUUUGAAGUGUGGACGCCAGUCUGCAUGGAGCCGACCUUGAAAUACCACCCUUUAAUGUUUGAUGUUCUAACGUGGACCCGUUACCCGGGUUGCGGACAGUGUCUGGUGGGUAGUUUGACUGGGGCGGUCUCCUCCUAAAGAGUAACGGAGGAGCACGAAGGUUGGCUAAUCCUGGUCGGACAUCAGGAGGUUAGUGCAAUGGCAUAAGCCAGCUUGACUGCGAGCGUGACGGCGCGAGCAGGUGCGAAAGCAGGUCAUAGUGAUCCGGUGGUUCUGAAUGGAAGGGCCAUCGCUCAACGGAUAAAAGGUACUCCGGGGAUAACAGGCUGAUACCGCCCAAGAGUUCAUAUCGACGGCGGUGUUUGGCACCUCGAUGUCGGCUCAUCACAUCCUGGGGCUGAAGUAGGUCCCAAGGGUAUGGCUGUUCGCCAUUUAAAGUGGUACGCGAGCUGGGUUUAGAACGUCGUGAGACAGUUCGGUCCCUAUCUGCCGUGGGCGCUGGAGAACUGAGGGGGGCUGCUCCUAGUACGAGAGGACCGGAGUGGACGCAUCACUGGUGUUCGGGUUGUCAUGCCAAUGGCACUGCCCGGUAGCUAAAUGCGGAAGAGAUAAGUGCUGAAAGCAUCUAAGCACGAAACUUGCCCCGA
rnacentral:rRNA from 2 species